rnacentral:tRNA from 1 species
GGGGAUUUAGCUUAGUGGUAGAGCGUUUGCCUAGCAAGCGCAAGGCCCUGGGUUCGGUCCCCAGCUCCG